CAUUAAGUGACUGAAAGUAAGUAAUGGUCUCUUAAACCAAUAUAUGGUAAUUUACACUUACCCUUAAUG
rnacentral:tRNA from 1 species